GGGCCAGGCUAGAAGGCCUUGGUGGGUCGCCCGCCCAUUAGUCACAGAAGAAUUUCUCUUGUCUUUGCGUGAAGGCAUCCCAAGUUGACAACUCCACGGCCCGCUCAUGGAAGAACAAGAACACGACACCAACCCAACCAUCGCUACCAGCUCACCACCACUGUCACCGCCGCCGCAACGCCGCCAACUAUGCACCCAGUGUGACCGCCCACUUCCAGUCUGCCUCUGCCAUGUUCUCCUCACCACCCCACUUCAAACCAAAACCAAAAUUUUAAUCAUCCGCCACCCUCACGAGUCCCGCCACAAGCUCAACACAACCCCACUCCUCUCCAAAACCCUCCUCAACGCCACUACCAUCUCUUCCCGUCGCCUCCUCCCUCACCACCUUGCCAACCAAUCCCCCCCCGCCAUCUACCUCUUCCCUCCUUCCCCUUCCACGCCCGCCGUCACACUGUCCCAACUCAAAUCCACCAACCUCCUCAAUUACCAAACUACCCCUCUCCUCUUAAUUGUUUUUGAUGCCACGUGGAAGCAUGCUAAGGAGAUGGUAGGGGCCAGUGAAGGGGUUUUGAAGGGUUUUGCUCUACGGGUUUGUUUAGAUGGAGUUGAUGAGAGUGUGGUGGGCGGGAGUAUUUAUGAUAGUGAAUUAAUUUUAAGAAAAGAGCCCUUUGGUGGGUGUGUUACCACUUUGGAGGCUGUGGCUAGGUGCUUGGGGGUCAUUGAGCCUAAUGGAAAUGAGGUUCAAGGGGUUCUGAUUGGGAUAUUGAGGGAGAUGGUGAGAUUGCAAGCUGGGUUUUUGAAGCCUGUUAAGCCUAGGACUAAGAUGUUGAAGAAGAACAAGCACAAAGAAGAGGGGAACAGUAAGAUUGACUAGAAGUCACUGCAAAUGUGAGCGAAAAGCUUAUAUGCUUCUCAACUUUGAUUGCAAGCUGUUGUUUUGGACAACUGUGUUGGAAUAUCUUCCAGUUAUGAACCUCAUCUCUGCUACUUGGUGAAUACUUUUAUUACAUGGCUGAGGUUUUCUGAGCCAAAAUGAAUACUUAUAUUGUUGAAGAAGUGUCAGCAGAAAGAGAAGAUGAAUGAGACUUUGCAGUCACUGGGUCUAAGGUUUUCUCUUGGAUAUCUGGCCAUAGGACUUACACAGAGAGGUUAGUGGAUGUCUCUUAUCUGACUUGAUACUAUUUUUCAAAGCUAAUUCCAUCAAGUUCAUGCUAUAAUUUGUAAAAAAACAAAAUUAUUGUGAGAAUUAGAUAGUUUUGUUAUGUCCAGCUCUUAAGAAAUGGUAUGGACAAUGGAUGCAAAUUACAAAUCUUGCAAUGUAGGUGGUUAUAAAGUUUGAUAAUAAGAAAUUCCAUUGGGUAAUAUGAGCUAAGCAAAGUAUCCCUUGUUUCUUUUUCAAUAAAUAAUUUUAUAUUUGUUGACAAUGUUCUCUUGAAAUACAUGUCUAUUUUUGUGUUGCAGUUGAACAGCUUUUUCGAAGGAGGGCUGGAAAGGGGGAAGGAUGGAAUAGUUUUUACUAUAAUGGUUGUUGGAAAUCAUCGUUAUUCUGCAGUUCCAUCGAUAUCCAGAGGAGUGAAAGAUCAAAGAGGAUACUGAUGCAAACUGUGAAAUCUCAAUGCCGUCAAGCACAAUCUUAGUAACAUGAGCAAUCUUGGGCCAAUCUUCACCUAUUCCUGGUUUGCAUCUUUUGCUCAACG